rnacentral:lncRNA from 1 species
UGUGCGUAUUGUUAUGCGUUUACUUUUCUACAUUGGCUAGAUGUAUAGGGGGAGGGUUGAGAUCUCACAAACAUGUUUAACCCCGCCGCAGUUUUGCGCCUGUCCCAAGUCAGGAGCCUCUGGCCUUUGUUAGUCUUGUAUUAUUUUAAUUUUAGUUUCUUGUGUACAAUUUGGAAAUUAGUAUGGCGUUCAUUAUCACUGAACUAGUAUAUAUUUG